AUUGCCUAGUGGUGAUAGCGGAGAGGAAACACCCGUUCCCAUCCCGAACACGGAAGUUAAGCUCUCCAGCGCCGAUGGUAGUUGGGGCCAGCGCCCCUGCAAGAGUAGGUCGCUGCU
rnacentral:rRNA from 1 species